CCUAGAUUCCAAGCAAAUUUGUCAAGACAUCUUUUAUUUAACAUUGUCUUACGAGUAGAACAGUGCCCCCACGUACUGUUUUUUUCAGGGGAUUUUCAGUAUGUCACAUGGCGAAAUAUAUCAAAUUGCCUUUUCAACUUGCAAAAUUGACAUAGUUUUUCUAGGUCCUAACACUUGUGCUGGCUGGGGCCUCACAACCACCUAAAUCCUUCCCUUGAUAAAUCCAAAACUCCCAUGUAUAGCCAGUAGCGCAUUCACAUACUUUAUAGAAUUUGAAGUCAUAUCGUGACCGCUUUGAUGGGAUAUAUUGUUUGAAAAACCUUUAAAUUUCAUAAGGGUUUCAUUAAUACAAAUACAUGAUUUUAGAAAAAUUUGGUCUGGCUGGAUUUGGAUAUGGGGAUGAAUUUUGUACAGUCUGUUAAACAAUGGGCCAUUUUGAGGGGGACACAGUGUUAAAAUGGAGGAAUCGCAGCAUUUGCUCAUAGCGAUCCCUCUUCACAACAACUGGGAAAAGAUGGAUAGACAGGAUAGGGUGCUAGUGUAAGUAGGAGUAUCAGGCCUUCACAAUAUCCAUUAAUAGAUUUAUAGCCCAAAAUGUUUUCAUUUCGGUGACAUCAGUGCCACAUGUUAUUUUUUUCCGACUGUAGUGUGUCCCUGGAUUUGCAGGCGGAUACUGGCUGGCAUAUAGAUUGCAUUGCUCUGCCACCAGCUCGGAUAUGUUCUCCGACAUAAAAAGCCUAAAAUAGCUCACUGUCUCACAAACAUCUACCACUGUUGUGAUGCCAAAUGUAGCAGUGAAUUUCUAUGGCUGUAAAGUUUGGGGGUUCUCAGCUUUCAUCUGGCACGGCGAGGCGUCCUAAGCGCUUUCUUGUAAAUGGUGUCAGAGGCUGUCAUAGUGUCACUGUCUGAGUCUGCCAGACUGGAGCAAGCCUGCUGUGCUGUAUAAUAGCCUAUGGUUGACAUGCUGAGCAGGCAGCCAUUCCACCUAUGAUAAUGAGCCAGCAUCAUGAGAAAUCCAGUCCGCGCCCCUGCUUUACUCCCUGGAACGUUCCCUUCCCUCCAUGGCUGUUCUAUAUAAUGGCAAUUCGAAUCCUCGUUCAGCAUUGCACAAUUCCCACGCAUAGCACUUAGCCAGCAUUACACUCAGGACUCAUCUCACCGUUGCCAGGCAACCUCCUCCUUGCUUUUCCAUUCGAUAGGCCGCGGCUCUCGCACAGACCUCGCCAGGAAUCGGACGCGGGCUCCUAUUGGCUGCAUGGUCUCCGGUUCUGCUUCCCAUUGGCUGUCACUCUCUGGCCAUCCCAC